AGAAAACGGGCUCACUGCAGCUAACAGCCUCACCCCUUGGGCUAGGAAGCCACGGAAGCAAAACCUCCGCCCCGGCCUGAAAGCAACCGGGAGACCGUGGAACCACUGCCACCGACUCAGCCCUGCCCAGCAGGGGCCCGCCCAGGGGCCACUCCCCAAGGGAGGCAGCCAGUCACUCGCCCGCCCUUCCGGGCCCACUCCGGAGGGGACGGUCUCCCGCCCGCCCUCACACACAGCUAGCUCCUCAGGCCAGGCCCCCAGGGUUUCGUCCACCUCUCACCUUUGACGACGCGAAUCAAGAAUGAGGAGGUGCUGCGAUCGAACGACUGCGAGGAAACACACCCGCUCUCAUGGCAUUCCCAGUAAACUGAGAAGACGUGAUUAAACCUCAGGAUCUCCUACUAAUAGAGAAAUGUAUAACGAUUUAGCUACCAGAUCUGAAUACUGAAGGGUUGGUAGGGGACCAGAGAAUAGAGGAAGCAUUGUAGGUUCUAGAGUGGAGAAGGGACCAUCCAAAAUGGAGUUUGAAAGAGAAUUCUGGCCUUUGUGUUUAGAGUCUGGAAUUGUCAAGAGUCUGAAAGCACAGAAUAAGACUGCAGCUAGAGCAAUUUAGGCGCCAUAGUUUGUCAAAACAGGUAAGGGGAAUAAAGGGGAUGACACGAAGAGAUGUGCAAAGAAUCUGAAGAAUUCACCUGAAAAGGAUACAACCUCCUCCUGGAAGGCAGAGGAGUAAAUAGGGAAUUGGAAAUUAAUUCCUUAUUUCUGCACAUGCACAGAAUCUGGGCCCAGGUGACUUAUGGAACCUUUAUAGAGACCAAGGUGACUGACAUUCAUGGGAAAGGGGGUAGAGGGGCAAGAACUGACUGUUCAUCAAAAAUUAUUAGAUGAGUGUGUCCACGACACCAGGAGAUAUGUUGAAUCAUGGACAGG
rnacentral:antisense_RNA from 1 species